CUCGGUUGUCCUGCCAUAAGUAGUAGAAAGUGCCCAGGAUCCAGGCUACGGUCAGGAUGGCGAUGGCAUUGGCGCGGAUCUUCCUCAUGGAAUGGACUCCAGCAGCAUCACAGAAUCAAAGCAACACCUAAGGAAUUCACUGUUUCUUCACAUACUUUGAACUGUGAAAACAAGAGUCAUCAUAAUAGCUGCAGUUUACUCAGUACCUACCAGGUACUGUCACCUAUACUGUCUCUAAAGCCCCUACAACCCUGAGCUAAGGAUGAUCAUAUCCCCAACUGCAGAUGAUGACACUGAAGCUCAACGGCUACUCAACUUGCCUGGAAUCCUACAGCAAUUAACAAAAACCAGCAUCACGCUCAAGGUUUUGUGAACUUAUCAGUUCCCUUAUUUCAACUCCUGGUCCUGUUGGAAAAAGUGACAGUUGGGAGGCAGAACUGCGCAUGGUAGCCCAGAGCUCUUACCAUCUGAGCCACGUGCCCAUUCAUUUCUCAUUUCAGAAUACUGCAUUGUGUCACAAGAAUUCAACUAUGUACUCAUGGAGAAGGAGGGAGAAAGCAAGGAAGGAAAAAAGAGAAAAGUAAUUUACAUAGUAACAGCAAUUCUGCUCAACAUUCCAUUCAGUGAGCCGAUACCCUGGAGUGCAGAAACUGUUAUGAAUGUACUCCACCAAGGCAAGAAAGGAAGAAGACAUGGAAUUUAAAAAACAGAGGAUCUACUAUGAAAGAGAAAGGUGAAGGGAAUUCCAGGCUGAUGGUAAAUGCAAAUUCCAGGAUGAGAGUUGGGCAGCAGGCCUAGAGUGCACUCCGUCCUGGGAGGAGCCAGAUGAUAGAGGGCUCUAGGAGAGAAGGCUCCAAGGGAAAAUGAAACAAGAGGAGGAGAAGAAACAGGCUUACGCUGAGCGAAUCCAAUGUGCAGACAGACACACAGGGAAGGUGACCAUUUGAAGACGGAGGCAGAAACUGAAGUUGUGCAACUGCAAACCAAGAAAUGCCAUGGAUUGCCAACAACCACCAGGAACUAGAAGAGGCAAGGUAAGGUUCAGCAAAGUCUAUGUCAUUCUCUAAUCCUUUUGAUCCAGCGGAUUCUUUGGAGGAAUUUGAAUACAUAUUGGAUUUUGCAUCCAGGUUUGCAAGAGGAAAAUACAAAGGUGACUUCUGGGCCUGCUGGAGGUGGAGGGUAGAGGAUGGACAGCUGACAUCUAGUCACAGAGGAAAGAACACAGAAAGAGAUCUCCAGUUAAAGCUGAUAGAUUGAACCACAGACAACCCACCUCCUUCUAAAAUCCCUCUAGAACAAUGGUUUAAAAAAAGUGCUUUAACAUAAAACUUCAAAAUCAAAAAGAUAAGGAAAAUGAUGAAAACCACUCAGAUAAGAAGAGAGGAUAUUUAUGCAGAGGCUGCUGUCGUUGGGAGUCCGCCACCAUACCACUAUACUUUGGUGAGACUUGAAGGCAGGCAGGGAGUGGAAACACUUUAUGCUGUAGUGAAAAAAGGGGAAGGCUUCGGUAUGCUCUGACUGGAGAUCAUUGUCAUGGGGAAACUGCAGGUGGGCUAACUAGAGGCUGGGCUUCUUGUGUAAUGGUUUGGCUUUCUCUGGUUGGUCCUGUGUUGAAAAUAGGGGCAAAAUAUAGGGAAGCUGACUCAUUGACCAAGCCCUGCCCAGGCUGGCCAAUUGCAGAGGUUGUGGGUCAGAGUUCUAUUGUCAUAUAUGGUCUGGCUACUGUCUGUUUAUAUAAUCCGUCUCUCAGAGAACAGUAGAGGAGAUCAAAUUAUUAACAUUUUGGAAGCUGGAAAGCAGGAGGAUAGUGUGAGCUGAAUUAGCAGACUUGCCAUCUAUCAAAGGGGAUAGCCAAAAGCAAGCCAGAUUUGCCCCAGAGAACCACCAAAGGUUCAAGAAUUGGCAGCACCAGGUACCCCCAGAAGCAGGGAUAAAGUGGGGGCUGAAAUUGGACAGUUGGUUCAAAGUCUAUUUCAGAAGCAUUAGACCACUGGAUUUCUUCCCCAGCUCCCAAAUGACUGCCUGGUGCAAAAGACUCAGGAUUGAUUCCCUGGAGAGGGUAGGUAGUUCUUUGUCUAGUUAAGGAUGGGAUGCCAUAACAAACAUGCCAAUUCAGUGAAAGUACCUACUUUCAAGACUCCUGCUUAACUCCCCUAAAUCAGCAGCCAAUGUUAGAAGCCAAGUGUUAAAGUUUUUCAGAUAAUUUUGCUAUAAGCCUAUGGAGAAAUUUCAUUACCAUCUCAUAGCAAGGCCUAUAGUAUAAGAGCAGGCCUAUAGUAGCAUAUGGGGGAAAGUCUAAAAGACUUUGAAAUGGACCAAAAGAUUAUUGAGAAAUGGAAAACUGCAUUGUUUUAAGUAUCCCUUUCCAACUUAUCAGAUUCUGUGGGGUUUAUACCUUUCAUUGUCUUUGAGGUAUUUAACAAUUCUAAAGAGAUAGACUCUAACUUGUAGAAAACUAAGAGUAACAUAAAUAAUUAUCGUCUUUAGAUAUACAAAUAAAUUCUGUUCUGAGAA
rnacentral:lncRNA from 1 species